GGGCCCAUGGUCUAGCGGCUAUGAUGUCGCCUUGACGUGGCGAAUAUCGCAGGUUCGAAUCCUGCUGGGCCCA
rnacentral:tRNA from 1 species